rnacentral:rRNA from 1 species
AUUGAACGCUGGCGGCAGGCCUAACACAUGCAAGUCGAGCGGAUGAAGGGAGCUUGCUCCUGGAUUCAGCGGCGGACGGGUGAGUAAUGCCUAGGAAUCUGCCUGGUAGUGGGGGAUAACGUCCGGAAACGGGCGCUAAUACCGCAUACGUCCUGAGGGAGAAAGUGGGGGAUCUUCGGACCUCACGCUAUCAGAUGAGCCUAGGUCGGAUUAGCUAGUUGGUGGGGUAAAGGCCUACCAAGGCGACGAUCCGUAACUGGUCUGAGAGGAUGAUCAGUCACACUGGAACUGAGACACGGUCCUGACUCCUACGGGAGGCAGCAGUGGGGAAUAUUGGACAAUGGUCGAAAGCCUGAUCCAGCCAUGCCGCGUGUGUGAAGAAGGUCUUCGGAUUGUAAAGCACUUUAAGUUGGGAGGAAGGGCAGUAAGUUAAUACCUUGCUGUUUUGACGUUACCAACAGAAUAAGCACCGGCUAACUUCGUG